rnacentral:lncRNA from 1 species
GGGCUAUUUUAAGCUUGUUUACUCGGAUACAUAUGACUGAGAAAAAAACCAACUUUAAAAGUAAGAAUGAAAUGAAGUAUUAUAACUGCCACAAAUUCUUGAAAACCCAUCUAUAAAGCAGAUUUUAAAAUUGCUGACAUAGUAAUCUUCAUAAAGGAAUCCACUCAUCCGAGCCUCCUUGAGCUGAUGAAUCACAUAGUUUGAUAAAGAGUCAACCAUUGCCCUGCCUUCCCAUACCAACAAUGAAAAACCAAAUGCCCACUUUUCCUAUAGCGAUGCUUGAGCUAUACCAAAGCAAUUGCUGAGAACUAACGCUGAAUAGCUUUGCAUAAUACCAGUAAUUCAUUCCAUAUAGGUAGCCUUCACCAUGCUAACACCAUGAAUGAAGGUAAUGCCCUCAAGCAUUGAACUUGAGGCAUUUAAGAACUAGAAUCAUCAAUCACCUCAACAUUGAAGAAUAUGAAUAAAAUGUAACAUCACAUUAAUGUGUUUCCAUGCUAAUAAAAGAAUUGUAGAAUUUUUUUUUGUUUUUGGUUUUUUUUUUUGCAGAAUCAUAACAAGCAGAUCAAGUCAUAUAUAGCCAACCAAACUAUAAAUAGAAUUACUAAUACAUCAGCAGCUUAUAUAUAAUCCAUAUAUCAAAUACUAAUAUACCAGAGAGAGAGAAGAAGAGUGAUGUGGAUUAAACCUGCAAUGAAGAAAAGCCCACAAAUUUUUUAAAGUUGAACCAUGCUUCCUCUCCCGAAAACCCACAAAUUUUCAAGUUCUCAUAAAAGGUUAGAGUGAUGGGAUAAAAUUCAAGUUCUCAAACAAAGGUGGACCCCAUCAUUUUGCUUACGAAAAACGAAUUGAGAGAGGGAGAACAGGAAUGGCGAUGAAGCAUGGAAAAACAAAUGGUUUCAAAGAGAUCACAAUUUUCAAAUGCAAAAAGUGGGGAUUUCAUUUUACAAAGCAAAAGAUGCAUUUGAAAAAUGUAAAAAAAAUAAAAUAGACAUACUUAGAAGCCUUGAGAAGAUGGGGAAGAUGCAUGCGU